rnacentral:rRNA from 1 species
CGGAGAGACUUCCACGCAUCAACAGGUCGGGGAGGAAACCCUCGAGCUCGAGAGGCGACCGACUGGAUCCACGCCUCCACCCCUCCCAAGAUUCUCCCUCGGACGACCGGCGGCGCCGCCGCGAAGGGCUGCGCCUCAACGCUCGUGCCCUCCGGCGACAUCGACGGCCCCGGCUGUCGUCGUCCUCCAUCCUCCGAGCUCAACUCAGUCACGAAGCUCUUCUUCCCUAGGGCGACGCCGGCGGCGACAGCGACAGCGUGGCAUUCCUCCUCCUACUGCGACCAAGGUUUCCUAAAGCUAGCAAAUGAAAAUGUUUAAAGAAGUUAAUGGUGAAAGCUUCAGACUCUUCCAACAGCAGAACAUUUUGACAUGGGGCAGUCACAUAUAGGCAUCUUUUUAAUGAACUGAAUGUUAAUUAUUGCUUGAUAUCUAACUGUAGUUAGUAUUUGUGAUGGUAAGACCAUGAUUAAACACAUUAAUAUCCUUGGUGCAGUGUUACUCGUGCAA